AUACAUUUCUUGACCUUUUGGCUAAGAUAUCUGUUCUUAUCAGUUUAAUAUCUAAUAUGUGGGCUAUCGGCUCACACGGUAUUAACUUUUGCUAAUUUUUUGUAACUUUU
rnacentral:snRNA from 1 species